ncrna:Drosophila ananassae microRNA dan-mir-219 precursor
UUUAGCUAUGAUUGUCCAAACGCAAUUCUUGUUGAAUUCAAAUACUCAAGGGUUGCGACUGGGCAUCGCGGCUCGA